GCGGGUGUAGCUCAGUGGUAGAGCAACGGCUUCCCAAGCCGUGUGUCGUGGGUUCAAUUCCCAUCACCCGCUCCA
rnacentral:tRNA from 1 species